rnacentral:rRNA from 1 species
CUACUAUGUCAGAGUUUGAUCCUGGCUCAGGAUGAACGCUGGCGGCGUGCUUAACACAUGCAAGUCGAACGGAGCACCCCUGAAAGAGUUUUCGGACAAUGGACGGGAAUGCUUAGUGGCGGACGGGUGAGUAACGCGUGAGUAACCUGCCUUGGAGAGUGGAAUAACACAGUGAAAAUUGUGCUAAUACCGCAUGAAGCAGUUGGGUCGCAUGGCUCUGACUGCCAAAGAUUUAUCGCUCUGAGAUGGACUCGCGUCUGAUUAGCUAGUUGGCGGGGUAACGGCCCACCAAGGCAACGAUCAGUAGCCGGACUGAGAGGUUGGCCGGCCACAUUGGGACUGAGACACGGCCCAG